GGAAGGAUCAUUAACAAGUAAUGAGGCCCUCGGGUCUACAUUUGCCCGGCCGCAAGGCUGAGGAGUGAGUGGAAGGAGGAGUUGGGGUUGGGAGACGUCAGUCGAACUGCCCCGCCGCCGCCAUCCCUCAAUAUAUACGCGUGUUUGUGUGACUGUUUUGAUGCAAUACAAUAAUAGACAACUUUUAACAAUGGAUCUCUUGGCUCUUGCAACGAUGAAGAACGCAGUGAAAUGCGAAAUGUAAUGCGAUUUGCAUGAAUCUGUGAGUCAUCAAGUCUUUGAACGCACCUUGCACUCUUGGCGCAAGUCAAGAGUAUACCUGUUUGAGAAUCGUAUCCUUUUCCCUCUUCUUUUAGGGUGGAUGUGACGGUUGAGACGCGAGUCUCUCCGUUUAAAAGGAGUAGAGAGGCGAGCAUCUUGUAGCUUGGGCUCCGUGUGCCAGAGACCACUUUGGUCUACUCACAGAGCCUAGGCGCGACUUGCUCACUAACCCUCCCUUCAAACCCCCUUUUUUAUGAUCUCAAAUCAGGUAAGGCUACCCGCUGAACUUAAGCAUAUCAGUAAGCGGAGGAAAAGAAACUAACAAGGAUUCCCCUAGUAACGGCGAGUGAAGCGGGAACAGCUCAAAUUUAAAAUCUGCCAGCAAUGGCCGAGUUGUAAUUUAAAGAGGCGCUAUCGGGGUGUCGACACUCGUUCAAGUCCCUUGGAAGAGGGCAUCACAGAGGGUGAGAAUCCCGUCUGGAUGAGUCGUCGGCGUCCCACACGAGGCGCUCUCUAAGAGUCGAGUUGUUUGGGAAUGCAGCUCAAAAUGGGAGGUAAAUUUCUUCUAAGGCUAAAUACUGGCAAGAGACCGAUAGCGAACAAGUACCGUGAGGGAAAGAUGAAAAGCACCUUGAAAAGGGAGUUAAAUAGCGCGUGAAAUUGUUAAAAGGGAAACGAUUGAGAUUAGUACUGUCGGGCAACCGACGGUCAGCAUCAGUUAUGUGCGGCCGGAAGCGGGUGCGAGGAAGGUGGGGUCGUGGUUCGCCACGGCUCUUUAUAGACUCACACAACGACGGUCGCGGUGACUGAGGAGCUGCAGCCGGGUUCACCGGCGGGUUUGCGCAGGAUCCCAACAGUCCAAGACAGCAUGCUGACUUGGCUGGCAAGGCCCUACUACGACCCGCCGCGCUCGGUCUCAGGAUGCUGACGAAAUGGUCUCAAACGACCCGUCUUGAAACACGGACCAAGGAGUCUAACAUAUGUGCGAGUAUUUGGGUGGCAAACCCGAGUGCGUAAUGAAAGUAAACGGAUGGGAAGGGCUCAACACCCCGCACCAUCGACCGACCUUGAUAUCUUUUGAUAGGUUUGAGUAAGAGCAUAUCUGUUGGGACCCGAAAGGCGGUGAACUAUGCCUGGAUAGGAUGAAGCCAGAGGAAACUCUGGUGGAGGUCCGUAGCCGUUCUGACGUGCAAAUCGAUGGUCAAAUCUGGGUAUAGGGGCGAAAGACUAAUCGAACCGCCUAGUAGCUGGUUCCCUC
rnacentral:misc_RNA from 1 species